AGCUCAGUUGGUUAGAGCAACCGGCUCAUAACCGGUCGGUCCGGGGUUCGAGUCCCUGA
rnacentral:tRNA from 1 species